rnacentral:rRNA from 1 species
UACGGAGGGAGCUAGCGUUGUUCGGAAUUACUGGGCGUAAAGCGCACGUAGGCGGCUUUGUAAGUUAGAGGUGAAAGCCCGGAGCUCAACUCCGGAACUGCCUUUAAGACUGCAUCGCUUGAAUCCAGGAGAGGUGAGUGGAAUUCCGAGUGUAGAGGUGAAAUUCGUAGAUAUUCGGAAGAACACCCGUGGCGAAAGCGGCUCUCUGGAACGGUACUGACGCUGAGACGCGAAAGCGUGGGGAGCGAACAGG